rnacentral:lncRNA from 1 species
GAUGAAUGAUUUUUUUUUCACUUAAAUGUUAUCUCACUUGAUUGAGAUUUGGUUAAAUCUUAGUCGGCUUGGCCUGGUCAAAAAAAUAGAAUUGCUCGGUGGCUAUGUGGCACCAGGAAAACAAUGCAACAGCGACAGGCCAGCAAGAGGUAUCUGUCUGUCGCUGUUCUCGCCUUAUCCGUAUUGCGGCCGCAUAUGGAAAAAACACCCAGCCCUUGUCCGUCCAGAGAGAUUGAGUACGUCUGGUCAGCUAGCCGUGGACACCAAACCAAGAGGAAGCUGGUCCUCCAUCUUCGGAUUUCCCUGCAUGCAUUGCUUUCCACUGUCAAAUCAGAUCUCGCCUCACACUAUUCUUGUGGAGGGCACGCAAUCCAUGAUUUCACAGGUCACACCCAUAGGAUGGCAGUAUGUGCAGUUUCUAGUCCAUAAAUUCGGAACACGAUUUUGUAUCGUGGGUUGAGAAUCAUCUGUUCGAAUUGAAGGACGAACAACAAAAUACAUGGAAUUGUUUUCUCCUUCUCCACUUUCUUUUGCUCAUAGAUUUUGCCGCGGAUCCGAAAGCAACGCGUACGUACAUACAGGAUAAAAGCAUGAUGAAUUAAUCUGCAUUCCAACAUAGAAGAAGCAACUGCUCCGUUCUUCUUUCCUGUGACCGUUUCAUUCAUGUUCCAGUCUUCCAGACGACUAACCCGAUUAGCAAAUCAACCAAGAACAAUGAACUUCAUAUAGAAAAAACAAGAGCGAUUAACAUCACAUCAACGGGAGACGGGAUGGAUCGACCUACUUGUCCCCGGCUAUUUGUCCCCGGCUGCCAGCGGCGUGCUCGGAGUGCGAUUCUUCUCUUCCUACUCCUGGCCGCCCUGGAGAUCCUUGUCGACCGCGCGCACGGCGCGGCACAGCGCGUCGUGGCGGGAGGGGUCGGUGCCGAGGCCGGAGGCGGCCGCCAGGACGAGGCCCUCGGCUCGGUCGCAGGACUCGCUGAAGGCGUCGAGGCAGCGGUGGAGGUCCGUGAGCGCUGCCGUGCGCCCGGGCUCGCGGACAACGGCGGCUGCGGCGUCGACCAGCGCGUCGUAAGCGGCCGCCAUUGCGUCGACGGUGCUGUCCAUGGCGCGCGGCCGGCGGUUAGAGGUUUCUGGGAGCCUGGGCGCGCGGGGAUGGCGGUUACGGGCGUCGAUCGAGAUCGAGUCGUUUGUGUUGAGUCCUCUUCGCUGUUGCACUCUUUGUGCUAGUAUGACAUGCUCUUUGACAAAGGGAAACGUUUUACAACGUUCUGUCGGUGGCGUGGCUCGCGUUCGAUCGUAAUAGAUGUAGCGUAUUUAUGUUUUUCUUCAAUUUUUUUU